CCUACGGGUGGCAGCAGUGAGGAAUAUUGGUCAAUGGACGAAAGUCUGAACCAGCCAAGUAGCGUGAAGGAUGACUGCCCUCUGGGUUGUAAACUUCUUUUAUAUGGGAAUAAAAUGUUCCACGUGUGGGAUUUUGUAUGUACCAUAUGAAUAAGGAUCGGCUAACUCCGUGCCAGCAGCCGCGGUACUACGGAGGAUCCGAGCGUUAUCCGGAUUUAUUGGGUUUAAAGGGAGCGUAGGUGGAUUGUUAAGUCAGUUGUGAAAGUUUGCGGCUCAACCGUAAAAUUGCAGUUGAAACUGGCAGUCUUGAGUACAGUAGAGGUGGGCGGAAUUCGUGGUGUAGCGGUGAAAUGCUUAGAUAUCACGAAGAACUCCGAUUGCGAAGGCAGUUCACUGGACUGCAACUGACACUGAGGCUCGAAAGUGUGGGUAUCAAACAGGAUUAGAUACCCUAGUAGUC
rnacentral:rRNA from 1 species